CCCUUAGACGUUCUGGGCCGCACGCGCGCUACACUGACCAGUGCAACAAGCAUCCGUCCUUGGCCGACAGGCCCGGGCAAUCUUUGAACGCUGGUCGUGGUGGGGAUAGACUUUUGCAAUUUUUGGUCUUCAACGAGGAAUUCCUAGUAAACGCAAGUCAUCAACUUGCAUUGAUUACGUCCCUGCCCUUUGUGCACACCGCCCGUCGCACCUACCGAUUGAAUGGUCCGGUGAAGCCUCCGGAUUGGCGCGCACCUCGGUGCCGCCGAGAAGUUGGCUAAACCUUACCAUUUAGAGGAAGGUGAAGUCGUAACA
rnacentral:rRNA from 1 species